AGUGGGGAAUCUUCCACAAUGGGCGCAAGCCUGAUGGAGCAACGCCGCGUGAAUGAAGAAGGCCUUAGGGUCGUAAAGUUCUGUCCUUAGGGAAGAACCGUGGGUAUAGCAAAUGAUACCCACCUGACGGUACCUUUGGAGGAAGCACUGGCUAACUACGUGCCAGCAGCCGCGGUAAUACGUAGGGGGCUAGCGUUGUCCGGAAUUACUGGGCGUAAAGGGUGAGUAGGUGGUCAUUAAAGUCAGAUGUAAAAGGCAAUGGCUCAACCAUUGUAAGCAUUUGAAACUUAAUGACUUGAGUGCAGGAGAGGUAAAUGGAAUUCCUAGUGUAGCGGUGAAAUGCGUAGAUAUUAGGAAGAACACCAGUGGCGAAGGCGAUUUACUGGACUGUAACUGACACUGAGUCACGAAAGCGUGGGGAGCGAACAGGAUUAGAUACCCUGGUAGUCCACGCUGUAAACGAUGAGUGCUAGGUGUCGGCAAGAGAUUGUCGGUGCCGCAGUUAACGCAUUAAGCACUCCG
rnacentral:rRNA from 1 species